GGGAUAACCUUGCGAAAGUAAGACUAAUACCCAAUGAUAUCUCUAGAAGACAUCUGAAAGAGAUUAAAGAUUUAUCGGUGAUGGAUGGGGAUGCGUCUGAUUAGCUUGUUGGCGGGGUAACGGCCCACCAAGGCGACGAUCAGUAGGGGUUCUGAGAGGAAGGUCCCCCACAUUGGAACUGAGACACGGUCCAAACUCCUACGGGAGGCAGCAGUGAGGAAUAUUGGUCAAUGGGCGAGAGUCUGAACCAGCCAAGUAGCGUGCAGGAUGACGGCCCUAUGGGUUGUAAACUGCUUUUAUAAGGGAAUAAAGUGAGUCUCGUGAGACUUUUUGCAUGUACCUUAUGAAUAAGGACCGGCUAAUUCCGUGCCAGCAGCCGCGGUAAUACGGAAGGUCCGGGCGUUAUCCGGAUUUAUUGGGUUUAAAGGGAGCGUAGGCCGGAGAUUAAGCGUGUUGUGAAAUGUAGACGCUCAACGUCUGCACUGCAGCGCGAACUGGUUUCCUUGAGUACGCACAAAGUGGGCGGAAUUCGUGGUGUAGCGGUGAAAUGCUUAGAUAUCACGAAGAACUCCGAUUGCGAAGGCAGCUCACUGGAGCGCAACUGACGCUGAAGCUCGAAAGUGCGGGUAUCGAACAGGAUUAGAUACCCUGGUAGUCCGCACGGUAAACGAUGGAUGCCCGCUGUUGGUCUGAACAGGUCAGCGGCCAAGCGAAAGCAUUAAGCAUCCCACCUGGGGAGUA
rnacentral:rRNA from 1 species